CAAAAUGUAGUAGUAUCACACAUGGAACCCCCGAUGGUGUGAACUUGCAUACGAUAAAGUAACCUAUUUAUGAAUCAUUUUGUGGAUUUAAUAUUAUAAGAGUGAUGAAUAUAGUGAAGUUGUUUGCAAAGAUCAUGAACUUGCCAAAGCAACAUUAAUAUCUGACCAUACAAGGAAGGUGAGGAAAAGCAAGCAAAUAUUUUUGCAUAUGGGUGAUGCAACGAAGGCCAAUGUGGCGCAAAAGUUUUAGUAUCGGAUUAAAUGAAACAAUAUAAGGAUAAAAAAUUUCUUUUUACCAAACGAAUCAGAUGGAUGCACUUUAUCAUAAGCCAGGUAUUUACGAGACGAAAUGAUUUGGAUGCCACAAGCCAGAAAGAUUCGAAAGCGUUGGCAACGCAUCCAUAUCAUAAAGUCCGACGCGCCGAAGGCGCAUGAGAGGUUGAGCCCAGGCCGAAGGCCUGGGUGAUACCCUAGUUUAUUCUACAAUGAGGGCCUAUCAUUUCCUACCCCUUCAAAACAACCAUGAGUGUACAAACUAUCCAGUAAUGCUGUAAAGACAAAUUACAAGGGAAUAAAUAAAUACAUAACGUUUGGACCUUCGCAACUUGAUCAGAACAUGCGAUAAUACCCCAAAGAGAUAAAACAAUGCGCCCACGAAUUCUUCCUGCAUAUCUGCUGCACUUGAGUGCCAAGAAGAAGUAACCGUUUGUCUCAUUAGUACAAGGGAAGUAUAAUAUGUAGGGUUCCUCGCUUUGCGGCUUAUGAAUAGGCAUUUCAAUCUCUUGAAGUUCUUCACUAAAAAUGGGAUAGAAAUCACCUAUGUUCUAUGAUGAACAAAUUUUACAAACAACUUCAUCUUUUUAUGAAAAUAUUUCGAAGAAAUCUCCUAGGUUGAUGCAGUGUUCUUCUUCUUCUUUUUCUUCAACUACUGCAGAAAUGUUCAAUGAGAUGCGUGAAGCAAUAGUUUUAAUUUCUUCCAUUAUUUCUUUCAUCUCUCUGUUAAGAACUUUAAUUUCACGGUUGAGAGCUACCAAUUCUUCAUGUUGCUCCAGAAUCGAAAACAUAGUUUUGGUAUUUUCCAUGACACUGUUACGUUGUAUAGGGUAUAAACCGUCCGAAAGAAUCAAACGGCUCUGAUACCAAUUGAUAAGCCCAAAACUUAUCAAUCAAUAAUCAGUACAGAAAUUAGACGAAUGAACAUAUGAGAAGGGAAAAACGCAGACAAAGAAUAGAAGAAUUCAUUAGAAAACAGAUAAGGGGUUUACAAACACAAAAGGAUACAUCAAUCCAUUUCAUUCAACAACUCCCUAAACAGAUGCACCGCCAUCAUAUAUAUAGCAGCACCCGUAGAGUAACCACCUAAACUACCCUAACCACUCCACAACGUAUGUACAUAUCAUUAAUUCUACAAUGAGGGCCUAUCAGCCGAAAAUUGAAAUUCUUUUUCAUGGAUUUUGUAUUGAAAUCUCUUUCCCACUCUGUAACUCACAGAUUCAAGUCCAUGGAUUUGUUUUAUGUCACUAGCCUAAGUAUUUACAAUCCAUGAUUGCUCCACUUAAUUUAACGAAUGUACCCAUUGCUAAACAGAUUUUGUUAUGGUAUAAGAAAUGCUUACUUAUGCACUGCACUAGCAUAUUUAUUCUUUUAUGAAAAUUUUAGGUCCUCUUUUACUGUACUCUUUGAUGUCCUUUCCAUAUUAAUCUUAACUCUUUUUCAUGGAAUGAUAAGGAAGGUCCAGAUCUCCUUGUGUUGUAGCUUUACUUUUUGUAGUAGUUAUCUUGAAUUUUUGACACAAACAUUUGCAGAAUGGUAAAUGGUCCUUUGGUUUACUUAUACCAAUCCAGUUUGCUCGAUAUUUCAUUUCAAGAUAGAUCUCUCUCUCGGCAAUUAGGACAAUCUUUUCUUUUCGGUCGAACUUCAGAUAACUUGAUUUUAGUAACCUGACAAGGAUGACCGAGCAACUUCAGUUCGUUUAGGAUUGCACACAACAACUUUCACCAAUAUGGCAUCGGUAUUGUAGUUUAAUGACGGUUUGAUGCCAUACAAAGUUUUGCACGGGAGAAAGAUGUGCUUGGGUCGAGAAGAAAUUCUGAGGGUGAUGACAAAGAUAAGGAUCGUCUACUAUUCGAAAGGAGCCAUGGAAAUAUGAAGAAAUGACUUUCGAAAUAUUCUGAGUCUGACAUGGAUGUUUUUCUGGAUGAUUGUCCAAUGUUGGGCAUUAAGCGAUUCCACAAAAAGAAUUAAUUAAAUGCUUUCGAUGUGGGCUUAGUAGAAAUUUUCAGCAAAUUUGAGAAAUUGUUUUGGACUAGAAUUACAGAUGCAAUCGGAGGGUUGCACGAGUCUCCACAUAACCGCGCUUUGAUGAUACCCUUGAAACUUGCAAGGCUUAAAUCGAACCACAAUGUGAAUUACGUAAUAAAGGAUUCUAGAUUUUCGGUGCAAACAAGCAAGUCCUCGGGAUAGAGACCUUUAAAAUGGUGAUGGUGUUUCCACGAUAUAGUAACUUGGAAGAGGCAACCGGGAAAAUGAAAUUCAAAUGCAAGAGUAGUAUCGAGAGUCGCAUGGAGGUAGUCUUCUUAGCCAUUAAUUUUGAUUUGAUUUUCGAUGACGAAAAUCUUUUUUUA